rnacentral:rRNA from 1 species
UAGGGAAUCUUCGGCAAUGGACGGAAGUCUGACCGAGCAACGCCGCGUGAGUGAAGAAGGUUUUCGGAUCGUAAAGCUCUGUUGUAAGAGAAGAACGAGUGUGAGAGUGGAAAGUUCACACUGUGACGGUAUCUUACCAGAAAGGGACGGCUAACUACGUGCCAGCAGCCGCGGUAAUACGUAGGUCCCGNGCGGUUGUCCGGAUUUAUUGGGCGUAAAGCGAGCGCAGGCGGUUAGAUAAGUCUGAAGUUAAAGGCUGUGGCUUAACCAUAGUACGCUUUGGAAACUGUUUAACUUGAGUGCAAGAGGGGAGAGUGGAAUUCCAUGUGUAGCGGUGAAAUGCGUAGAUAUAUGGAGGAACACCGGUGGCGAAAGCGGCUCUCUGGCUUGUAACUGACGCUGAGGCUCGAAAGCGUGGGGAGCAAACAGGAUUAGAUACCCUGGUAGUCCACGCCGUAAACGAUGAGUGCUAGGUGUUAGACCCUUUCCGGGGUUUAGUGCCGUAGCUAACGCAUUAAGCACUCCGCCUGGGGAGUACGACCGCAAGGUUG